rnacentral:rRNA from 1 species
UACGGGGGGGGGCUAGCGUUGUUCGGAAUUACUGGGCGUAAAGGGCGCGUAGGCGGUCUGCUAAGUUGGAUGUGAAAACUCUGGGCUUAACCCAGAGCCUGCAUUCAAUACUGACAGGCUAGAGUUCUGGAGGGGAUAGCGGAAUUCCUGGUGUAGCGGUGAAAUGCGUAGAUAUCGGGAGGAACACCUGUGGCGAAAGCGGCUCACUGGACCACAACUGACGCUGAUGCGCGAAAGCUAGGGGAGCAAACAGG